GAUCUGCUUACCAUCGCACACCCCCGUUACUCUUUAGGAGGCGUCCGUCCCGGAUAAACUAACCACCUCGCAGUGUCUCGCC